AAGCUGCUGUGAAUUCCAGGAAGAGUUCAAAAAUGAAUUAUAAAAAACUGUUUAAAUUGCUGGAGUGCUGUCAUGGCCCCGUCGGAGGACUCAUCAGACGAGGAUGACUGGGGAGUAACAGCAGCAGCAGACCCAGAAGCAGCAGACCCAGAAGGAGAAAUGGAGGAAACUCCUGAGAACCCAGCUCCUUCUCCCUCUCAGCUGCAGAGCACCCCAGACACAGCUGAAGCCCUUCAACCAGACACAGACAGUGAACGGGAUACUCCCCCCUCACCUGCAGAACAUAGACAACAGAAGGUCAGGCAGAAGAGGGGCAGGCCUGUCCACUUAAGGCCAAAACGCUGAUGGCUCACACCUGCUGACAAACCUGCUCCUUAAAAGACAAACCUUGGCUUCAGCUUGUUGCUGACUACAACAUCAGGUGUGGCUUUGUAUGUUUCCAGAUUCCCUGAACCUUAUCUUGGACUGACCCCUCGGCAACUGAACCCGGACCUCUACUGACGUCUCUUCUGGACUUCUGGCUUGGCACAUAAGCUUGGAAAGGGCCUUGCCCUUAUCAUGCUUCAUCCUCGUUAGCCUGGCAGAUUUACGACCCAGCUGCCAGCUAAGGACUUUCCCGCCCUGAUGGGCCAUUGUCCGCCAUUUUCCCCAUCAGGAGACCUGUGAAAGGAAGAAAACGUUACCAGUCAGGCCCAGAUGAAGGAGGGAAAGAGCAAGGGAAAGGAGGGAAGCUGCUUGAAAUCCUGAAACUUUAACUGAGGAACACAGAUCACGUCAACAGAGAAUAUCUUCUUUCCAUGUGAUGAAAACAUGAAUAAGUGAUGUAUUCCACUGGUUUAAAAAUUCACAGUAGCAAGUGGAUUAAGGCUACAAUCAAACAGCAUUUAUAUGGAAGGAAAAUGCACUGAAUUAGUAUUACAAUUACACUUUUAGUGCCUGUAAGCAAAGGAAGUGUAUUCACAAAAUAAAGUCAAUAAGCAACACUUGAGAAAAGAGAAAAGCAAUGAGAUCCCUGUCAGGACAGCAAUUAUACAUCAAAGAAUAUGUAA